rnacentral:rRNA from 1 species
UACGUAGGGUGCAAGCGUUGUCCGGAAUUAUUGGGCGUAAAGAGCUCGUAGGCGGUUUGUCGCGUCUGCUGUGAAAACUCGGGGCUUAACUCCGGGCCUGCAGUGGGUACGGGCAGACUAGAGUGCGGUAGGGGAGACUGGAAUUCCUGGUGUAGCGGUGAAAUGCGCAGAUAUCAGGAGGAACACCGGUGGCGAAGGCGGGUCUCUGGGCCGGUACUGACGCUGAGACGCGAAAGCGUGGGGAGCGAACAGG